rnacentral:rRNA from 1 species
GACGAACGCUGGCGGCGUGCUUAACACAUGCCAGUCGAACGGAAAGGCCCUGCUUUCGUGGGGUGCUCGAGUGGCGAACGGGUGAGUAACACGUGAGUAACCUGCCUUUGACUUUGGGAUAACUUCAGGAAACUGGGGCUAAUACCGGAUAGGAGCUCCUGCUGCAUGGUGGGGGUUGGAAAGUUUCGGCGGUUGGGGAUGGACUCGCGGCUUAUCAGCUUGUUGGUGGGGUAGUGGCUUACCAAGGCUUUGACGGGUAGCCGGCCUGAGAGGGUGACCGGCCACAUUGGGACUGAGAUACGGCCCAGACUCCUACGGGAGGCAGCAGUGGGGAAUAUUGCACAAUGGGCGGAAGCCUGAUGCAGCAACGCCGCGUGCGGGAUGACGGCCUUCGGGUUGUAAACCGCUUUCGCCUGUGACGAAGCGUGAGUGACGGUAAUGGGUAAAGAAGCACCGGCUAACUACGUG